rnacentral:piRNA from 1 species
ACUUCUUUUAGAAUGCAGAGAAGAAA